CCUCUUUUCACGUCCGGCGAUCCCUCUUAUAUUUGCAGAUGCCGGACCAACUCCGGCUAUGGCGAUAAACGUUCGAUGCAAUAAACCUUUCGGACCCGGGGGCGGUACCCGGCGCCUCCACCAUGUCUCAUGAAGUCCGCUUUUCGGAUCCGAUGGGACAUGGCGGGGGCGAAAUAGGAUCGACGAGGGCGUAAAGAUCGGAUUUUUGCUCGGAAUGGUUCCGCCGUUAUCGGGCCGUAUCAAUAGUUGCAAACGACAACUAUGCGGAAGCACGUCUCGCCGCGUAAGCGGUGCGAUAGCUUCGAAUUAAGCCCUGGGGGUUCGCACUUCUAGGCGGGGCUCGGAGGCGCCUGGCAACAGAAGCCUCCACU
rnacentral:tmRNA from 20 species